ACAGGUAGGGUCAGUCAGGUAGUAGUAUAUAGUGAGUCAUAUCUACAGGUAGGGUCAGUCAGCCAGAGUAGUGUAUAGUGAGUCAUAUCUACAGGUAGGGUCAGUCAGUCAGUCAGUCAGGUAGUAGUAUAUAGUGAGUUAUAUCUACAGGUAGGGUCAGUCAGCCAGAGUAGUGUAUAGUGAGUCAUAUCUACAGGUAGGGUCAGUCAGCCAGAGUAGUAUAUAGUGAGUCAUAUCUACAGGUAGGGUCAGUCAGCCAGAGUAGUGUAUAGUGAGUCAUAUCUACAGUUAGGGUCAGUCAGGUAGUAGUAUAUAGUGAGUCAUAUCUACAGGUCGGGUCAGCCAGGUAGUAGUAUAUAGUGAGUCAUAUCUACAGGUAGGGUCAGUCAGUCAGUCAGGUAGUAGUAUAUAGUGAGUCAUAUCUCCAGGCAGGUAGGGUCAGUCAGUCAGUCAGGUAGU
ensembl:lncRNA